rnacentral:rRNA from 1 species
UGGGGAAUAUUGCACAAUGGGCGCAAGCCUGAUGCAGCCAUGCCGCGUGUGUGAAGAAGGCCUUCGGGUUGUAAAGCACUUUCAGCGAGGAGGAAGGUGGUGAGCUUAAUACGCUCAUCAAUUGACGUUACUCGCAGAAGAAGCACCGGCUAACUCCGUGCCAGCAGCCGCGGUAAUACGGAGGGUGCAAGCGUUAAUCGGAAUUACUGGGCGUAAAGCGCACGCAGGCGGUUUGUUAAGUCAGAUGUGAAAUCCCCGGGCUCAACCUGGGAACUGCAUUUGAAACUGGCAAGCUAGAGUCUCGUAGAGGGGGGUAGAAUUCCAGGUGUAGCGGUGAAAUGCGUAGAGAUCUGGAGGAAUACCGGUGGCGAAGGCGGCCCCCUGGACGAAGACUGACGCUCAGGUGCGAAAGCGUGGGGCAGCAAACAGGAUUAGAUACCCUGGUAGUCCAGCGCUGUAAACGAUGUCGAUUUGGAGGUUGUGCCCUUGAGGCGUGGCUUCCGGAGCUAACGCGUUAAAUCGACCGCCUGGGGAGUACGGCCGCAAGGUUAAAACUCAAAUGAAUUG